rnacentral:rRNA from 1 species
AGUGAACGCUGGCGGCAGGCCUAACACAUGCAAGUCGAACGGCAGCGCAGUGGAGCUUGCUCCAUGGGUGGCGAGUGGCGGACGGGUGAGGAAUACAUCGGAAUCUGCCCAGUCGUGGGGGAUAACAUAGGGAAACUUAUGCUAAUACCGCAUACGACCUACGGGUGAAAGCGGGGGAUCGCAAGACCUCGCGCGAUUGGAUGAGCCGAUGUCCGAUUAGCUAGUUGGCGGGGUAAUGGCCCACCAAGGCGACGAUCGGUAGCUGGUAUUAGAGGAUGAUCAGCCACACUGGAACUGAGACGCGGUCCAGACUCCUACGGGAGGCAGCAGUGGGGAAUAUUGGACAAUGGGCGCAAGCCUGAUCCAGCCAUGCCGCGUGGGUGAAGAAGGCCUUCGGGUUGUAAAGCCCUUUUGUCCGGAAAGAAACGCCUCGGAUUAAUACUCUGGGGUAAUGACGGUACCGGAAGAAUAAGCACCGGCUAACUUCGUGCCAGCAGCCGCGGUAACAC